AACGAACGCUGGCGGCAUGCCUAACACACGCAAGUCGAACGAGAUCUUCGGGUCUAGUGGCGCACGGGUGCGUAACGCGUGGGAAUCUGCCCUUUGGUUCGGAAUAACAGUUGGAAACGACUGCUAAUACCGGAUGAUGACGAAAGUCCAAAGAUUUAUCGCCAGAGGAUGAGCCCGCGUAGGAUUAGCUAGUUGGUGUGGUAAAGGCGCACCAAGGCGACGAUCCUUAGCUGGUCUGAGAGGAUGAUCAGCCACACUGGGACUGAGACACGGCCCAGACUCCUACGGGAGGCAGCAGUGGGGAAUAUUGGACGAUGGGCGAAAGCCUGAUCCAGCAAUGCCGCGUGAGUGAUGAAGGCCUUAGGGUUGUAAAGCUCUUUUACCCGGGAUGAUAAUGACAGUACCGGGAGAAUAAGCUCCGGCUAACUCCGUGCCAGCAGCCGCCGUAA
rnacentral:rRNA from 1 species